rnacentral:piRNA from 1 species
UAGAAUUUUCGAUGCAGGUGU